AUGUCGUCGUCGUCUUCCGAGGAGGAGGCGGCGCGGUCGAGGAGCGCGCCGGCCCCAGGCAAGCGCGGUUCGGCGAGCGCGGCGGCCCGCGGCAAGUCCGGUUCGGCGGGUGCGAGGGUCCCCGGCAAGGCCCGCUCGGUCGCCUCCGGCAAGUCGGUCUGGGCCGAGAUGGGCGUGGCGCCCUUCCAGGACGGGCAGUACGUGCGCCUCCGCAACCGCGGCCGCGGCGGUUACCUCUGCGCCGACGAGACGGGGCGGGGCGUCUCCAUCGACCACCGCCGCGAGAUGGUCAACACGGCGUGGGCCGUGAUGGUCCUGGAGACCGACACCAACUACUUCGUCCUGCUCCGCGGCGCCUACGGCCGGCACCUCGCCGUCACGCGCGACGAGGCGGGGCCCGGCCACAUCGGCUUCGACGCCGCCCAGUGCGCCUUCGACGAGCCGGAGGACACCCACGUCAUGUGGUGGACCACCCCGGGGAAGAAGGGCAGCGUCGUGCUGCUCCACGGCACGUCGGCCAGGCUCAGCGCGCUCCGGGCCAACGGUCGGUUCCGCCGCUGGCACAGGCGCGUCACCGUCGAGGCCAUCAACCGCAGCCGCGUCACCUCGAUGAUGGAGUGGGAGGUUCAGGUCAUCCCCAUGAGGGUGGAGAGGCCACCGUACCAGCUGCGACCAGGAGGACCCGAUAUUCCAUGGCACCAAGGCUCUGAAGAGACUGUGCAAGUCAAUUUCGUCGUGGCAGAUGAUAACGGGAGCACGGAUGGGCAGGGCAGGGAAGCUCUCACGCUCCAUGGCAGGAGUCUGAUGGGGCUGGGCAAUGAACUGGCGCAGCGGCUGGGCGACGGCCUCAACUUCCAGGACAUCACCCUCUGCAUUCAGGCAGGCAACCUUGCGCAGCCCACCGUUCUGCUCACCGACCUGCCCCACAGAGACGACCCCGUUGACAUCGUGGUGUUCAGAGUUGGCACACCAGGGCAUGACCGACUGCUGUUUCCAGAUCUUGAUGCUGAAUAG
rnacentral:rRNA from 1 species